UCUUAACGCCGCGGCGGCUGGCCCUGCGGGGCUCGGGCGGCACCUGGGUUCCCGUCUUCGCCGCAGCUUGUGCGCGCGAAGCGGGAGGGCUGGAGCUAGCCGCGCGGAGCCCGCGGAGCCUGGACGAGCGGUUCCGAGAGAGGCGGCACUUUGCGGGCCGUUGAUGACUCCCUUCCACUCAAAAUUGCCCCCUUGCUUCUCAAACUCCCAGCGGGUGGUCGGACCUGUGGGGGAGGGAGCGGCUCCUUUAAUGUGGUUUUGUUUUUAAAUACACACACACGCGCACACACACACAGAGGCACACAUAUACACACACACACACGUUUGAUUCCAAGCAAGGUUGUCGGGGUUUUUUGUUUUUCAUUCAGAAGCGGCCCCUCCCCUGGUCGAGUCUGCAGCCCCCAUCCCUCCACCCGGAGAUGACACCUAUGUCUGAGCUAGAAGAACCUAAGCCAAUGGAUCUCAAUCGACAGAAGAGAUCUCCUGUAAAUCACCCCCCAACUCUUCGGAGACAAGACCAGCCAGAGACUGGAGUGUUCAUUAGAUUUUAGUGCCACCUUGUGGCAAUCUUUACAGGGUUUUUUAAACAUAUAUAUAUAUAUAUAUAUAUAAAAUUAUAUUUAAAUAUUUUCUAUAUAUUAUAUAUAUGAUUAUAUAA